AUGUCGUCGUCGAACUCGCCGUGCGCGGCGUGCAAGCUGCUGAGGCGCAAGUGCACGCAGGGGUGCGUGUUCGCGCCCUACUUCCCGCCGGACCAGCCGGCCAAGUUCGCCAACGUGCACAAGGUGUUCGGCGCCAGCAACGUCUCCAAGCUGCUCAACGAGCUCCCCGUGGCGCAGCGGGAGGACGCCGUCAACUCGCUCGCCUACGAGGCCGAGGCGCGCCUCCGCGACCCCGUCUACGGCUGCGUCGCCUACAUCUCCGUCCUCCAGCUCAAGAUCAAGCAGGUGCGCGAGGAGAUCGCCAACGCGCGCAAGGAGCUCGCCGGCUACAUCGGCCAGGCCGCCUACGCGCCCGUCGUCCCCGUGCAGCACCCCCACGCGCAGUACGCCGCCGCCGGCAUGGGCCUCGUCCAGCCCCACCCGCACCCGCACCAGCAGAUGGCGAUGCAGCAGCAGCAGCCGUACCACCAGCAGCAGAUCGCCGAGGCGCAGCACCUGGCGGCCGCGGUCGAGGUGGCGCGCGCGGGGCAGCAGCAGCAGCAGCAGCAUCACCACCAGCACCAGCAGCACGAGAUGAUGAUGAUGCGCCAGACCUACGGCAACGUCCACGGGGCCGCCGCCGGGCCAACGGUGGCCGUCGAGCCUCCCCAGGCCGCGGCCUACGACGGCACCGCCCCGUUCCUCAUCCAGCAGCAAGCGUCGCCUUCCGCCCUGACCUACCGCAUGGAGGAGCCGUCCCCGCCGCCGCAGUCCUCGGGCCACUCCCACGUCGACAUGUCCCACGCGCCGCAGCAGCAGCGUCACCAGCACACGGACGGCAGCGACGAGGGGAGCGGGGGCGCCCCGACGGCCUGA
rnacentral:rRNA from 1 species